rnacentral:rRNA from 1 species
AUGCAGUCGAGCGGUAACAGAAAGUAGCUUGCUACUUUGCUGACGAGCGGCGGACGGGUGAGUAAUGCUUGGGAACAUGCCUUGAGGUGGGGGACAACAGUUGGAAACGACUGCUAAUACCGCAUAAUGUCUACGGACCAAAGGGGGCUUCGGCUCUCGCCUUUAGAUUGGCCCAAGUGGGAUUAGCUAGUUGGUGAGGUAAUGGCUCACCAAGGCGACGAUCCCUAGCUGGUUUGAGAGGAUGAUCAGCCACACUGGGACUGAGACACGGCCCAGACUCCUACGGGAGGCAGCAGUGGGGAAUAUUGCACAAUGGGCGCAAGCCUGAUGCAGCCAUGCCGCGUGUGUGAAGAAGGCCUUCGGGUUGUAAAGCACUUUCAGUCAGGAGGAAAGCUUGGUGGUUAAUACCUAUCAUCUGUGACGUUACUGACAGAAGAAGCACCGGCUAACUCCGUGCCAGCAGCCGCGGUAAUACGGAGGGUGCGAGCGUUAAUCGGAAUUACUGGGCGUAAAGCGUACGCAGGCGGUUUGUUAAGCGAGAUGUGAAAGCCCCGGGCUCAACCUGGGAACUGCAUUUCGAACUGGCAAACUAGAGUGUGAUAGAGGGUGGUAGAAUUUCAGGUGUAGCGGUGAAAUGCGUAGAGAUCUGAAGGAAUACCGAUGGCGAAGGCAGCCACCUGGGUCAACACUGACGCUCAUGUACGAAAGCGUGGGGAGCAAACGGGAUUAGAUACCCCGGUAGUCCACGCCGUAAACGAUGUCUACUAGAAGCUCGGAGCCUCGGUUCUGUUUUUCAAAGCUAACGCAUUAAGUAGACCGCCUGGGGAGUACGGCCGCAAGGUUAAAACUCAAAUGAUUUGACGGGGCCCGCACAAGCGGUGGAGCAUGUGGUUUAAUUCGAUGCACGCGAAAACCUUACCUACACUUGACAUACAGAGAA